UACAGAGGGUGCAAGCGUUGUUCGGAAUUAUUUGGGCGUAAAGGGUGCGUAGGCGGUGCGGUAAGUCUGUAGUGAAAUCUCUGGGCUCAACUCAGAGUCUGCUAUAGAAACUGCCGUGCUUGAGUGUGGGAGAGGUGAGUGGAAUUCCACGUGUAGCGGUGAAAUGCGUAGAGAUGUGGAGGAACACCAGUGGCGAAGGCGGCUUUCUGGUCUGUAACUGACGCUGGAGGCGCGAAAAGCAUGGGGAGCAAACAGG
rnacentral:rRNA from 1 species